rnacentral:rRNA from 1 species
CCUACGGGCGGCAGCAGUGAGGAAUAUUGGUCAAUGGACGCAAGUCUGAACCAGCCAUGCCGCGUGCAGGAAGACGGCUCUAUGAGUUGUAAACUGCUUUUGUACGAGUGUACCUGAAGAAAAAGCAUCGGCUAACUCCGUGCCAGCAGCCGCGGUAAUACGGAGGAUGCGAGCGUUAUCCGGAUUUAUUGGGUUUAAAGGGUGCGCAGGCGGUCUGUUAAGUCAGCGGUAAAAGCCCGGGGCGCAACCCCGGCCCGCCGUUGAAACUGGCAGUCUCGAGUUGGAGAGAAGUAUGCGGAAUGCGCGGUGUAGCGGUGAAAUGCAUAGAUAUCGCGCAGAACUCCGAUUGCGAAGGCAGCAUGCCGGCUCCACACUGACGCUGAGGCACGAAAGCGUGGGUAUCGAACAGGAUUAGAUACCCGGGUAGUC